CAACAAGUUAGCAUACCGCUGUUUUUAUCCAGAUGUAUUAAUUUGCUCUGAAAUAAGAUAGUGCAUUUUAUGUAGGGAAAUUAAAAUUCGGCUAAUAUAAAAUCUGGUAGAUUAAGCUUAUUGUAUGGUUCCAGGAAAUGAUUAAUGAUCUGGUUCGAAAAUUGCAUUAAUUAAAAAUCGCAAUAGAAUAGGAAAUUGUAUGCUUAGGAGGAUUCUAGCCAGCAUUGAAAGAGUUAAUCGGUGUGGUCUAACUGUCAGCCAAAGAUUUUAUGGCUUCUCGCUGCACUGUUGUAUUCUGUGGAAUUUGGUGUUCUGUAUGCUGUGAGCUUUCUGUGAGAUUGUCUAUGUAUCAUAAAUUUUGUUACCUCUUGACAGUUGGUGCUAAUGGCUGCUGAAUUGUGUUUUAAACAUUGCCAUAUUGUAUGCUAUGUUAUACUAAAUAUUCACUGAUUAUUAUCACGCAUGUUACAUAUUGUUAUUUUUAUUAUUG